rnacentral:rRNA from 1 species
AGUCGAGCGGUAGAGAGGUGCUUGCACCUCUUGAGAGCGGCGGACGGGUGAGUAAAGCCUAGGAAUCUGCCUGGUAGUGGGGGAUAACGCUCGGAAACGGACGCUAAUACCGCAUACGUCCUACGGGAGAAAGCAGGGGACCUUCGGGCCUUGCGCUAUCAGAUGAGCCUAGGUCGGAUUAGCUAGUUGGUGAGGUAAUGGCUCACCAAGGCGACGAUCCGUAACUGGUCUGAGAGGAUGAUCAGUCACACUGGAACUGAGACACGGUCCAGACUCCUACGGGAGGCAGCAGUGGGGAAUAUUGGACAAUGGGCGAAAGCCUGAUCCAGCCAUGCCGCGUGUGUGAAGAAGGUCUUCGGAUUGUAAAGCACUUUAAGUUGGGAGGAAGGGCAUUAACCUAAUACGUUAGUGUUUUGACGUUACCGACAGAAUAAGCACCGGCUAACUCUGUGCCAGCAGCCGCGGUAAUACAGAGGGUGCAAGCGUUAAUCGGAAUUACUGGGCGUAAAGCGCGCGUAGGUGGUUCGUUAAGUUGGAUGUGAAGUCCCCGGGCUCAACCUGGGAACUGCAUUCAAAACUGUCGAGCUAGAGUAUGGUAGAGGGUGGUGGAAUUUCCUGUGUAGCGGUGAAAUGCGUAGAUAUAGGAAGGAACACCAGUGGC